GCGGGGCCGAAGAGGAGAUGCCGGGGGGAGCCGGGCGUGCCCCCCUUUCACUCAUAGCCGCAGAGAGAGCGAGGGAGAGAGAAUUGCCCCCAACCAGGCAGCAAAAUGCUGGGUUUAGAAGACUGCCAGUUUCCUGCAUACAACUAUAAUUAAUCUACGUACAGAGAUCAAAGAUCCGAGGGCGAAGGAAAUGAUUGAUUCCGCCAGAAAAUGCUUCCGUGGCACAGCCCAUGGACAGCCGCCACCCACGGCAGGUCCAGUGAUGUGCUGUUCACCUACCACCCUGCACAGUGGCCCUCCCACAGUGGUCCUCUUGUCCCCUCCACCAAGUUCCCUGAACACACUGGACGCCAAACACCUUUUCAAGGCAGUGGUGCCCAGUGCUUUGGUCCCUCCAUUUUCAACAGAUGAAGCAAAGAGAUUACAAAGGAUAGCACGGUUCCAGACUGAAACUCCACUUGCUAUAUUUAUGUUGUGGAACUUUAUGCAGGCCCUCUCAUUUCAGCUGUUUGAAAUGAUGUGUCACUAGGAGGAGGUCACAGGUGACUGGCAAGUUCAACCUACUUAGCUCAAUUAUCCUAGUUUCAUUUCCAAGUUGUGUUCAAUUUGAUCUUCCUGCUUGCCUCCAAAUUAUCUUAGAGGAAAAAAAAAUCAAAUGAAAGCAGACAAUUUAAGCCAAAUCCUGUACACCAUUAUUUAUAUGCAAAAUCAUUUUUGUGAUAUAUACUCCCCUUAAUGACUAUGGGAUGCCAGAUCUUUCCAAGCAAAUUUACAAACCUAGCCAUCAAAUUAUUUCAAAGGCAGGCCUAUUAGGGACAAAGAUAAUUAUGAACUUUCAGAAGCUUUGUAAAAAGAUAAGUUUCUGAGUGUUGUCUCUUUAAAUUUUUCUUAAGUUUGUUUUUAAUUUAAGCCUGGAGGCAUAGUAGAGAGAUAUGCAGAAUCUAAUAAGGAGUUUGGAAAAUAAUGUGCUGUAAUCCAGUGCUGAGCUAUUUCUCCAUAAAAUAUGGAUAAGGAAUCAAUUCAUAAGCGCAAAUAUCUACUAGGACUGAGUUUUAGCAAACAUUUCACAUGAUCAUUCUUAUAUGCAUUAUUAAGGAGAUAACAAAAGUGCUUCAAAUCAAGCCCUAUAUAGUCACAUCUGGAAAUGCUCUUUUCUGUCUAAUUUUCAUUUUUUCCCCUCAAAAAAUGUUAGAAGAAAAACUAGUCUGUCCCCUUGUAUAUUAAUUGUUACCAUCAGCUUUUAAUCAGCAACAUGUAUAGUUAAAUUUACAGAAUUCAUUCCAUGUUGCCCCUUUAGAGAACAGUGAAAUGAAGAUAGUGUCUUUAUUCAUUUAUAGAAUCUGAUGUUUAAAGCAAACCCACACACAUAUAGCAUAUACAUUGCUUUAUGCAUAUAGACAGGCAUGUAGGCACAUAGACACAACACAUGGAAACAAGUUAUGACCAUGUGUUGGAAAAAAUACUAAAAUGUAUCUGUGCAUUUCACCAGAUCCUGAGCCAUACGUCAUCAGAGAAGAAGCGAUCUAGGGAAAACUAGUUAAAAUCGGACACAGCUAAUUUCUGAAGGCAUUGGAACUACAAUAAGUUUUGCUGCACAAUGCAUAAGCACUGUCUGUUUUCAAAGCUCUUCAGGUUUUUUAGUCAAAUAAAGCAUUACCAUGAAGGUAAGAAGAGUUAAUAAACUUCCCAGAAGUUGAAAGGAGUUGAUACAAGUUUGGGUUUGUUUUUUUGCUGAUAUAUAAUGUAAAGGAAUUAAAUUCUGAGGACAAAGAUAAAAGU